rnacentral:tRNA from 1 species
GCCGAGAUGGCGGAAUUGGUAGACGCAGUAGACUCAAAAUCUACCGACUUCGGUCGUGCGGGUUCGAGUCCCGCUCUCGGCACCA